GUGCUCACUUCAGCAGCACAUAUACUAAAACUGGAAUGAUACAGAGAAGAUUAGCAUGGCCCCUGUGUAGGAAUAACAUGCAAAUUCAGGAAGCGUUCUGUAUUUUU
ensembl:snRNA U6 U6 spliceosomal RNA